CAAAAGAAUACAGAGGAAAAAGCUUUUCCCACUUUCUUUCCUAGGACUAGCCAAUAGCUGAAGUCAUGCAGGAAACUGGGUAGAGAGAAGGGGAAAGCAGCUUCUUCUCCCUGAAAUCCCGAUCAGCAGAAAUUGGAGGCUGUUGUAUAUCUCCCACCCAGACUUUUGUUUAAAAGUUUUUUCAACUGUUGCUAGGUGUUGGAUUCUGAGAUUAGGUUUCUCGUCUUCUGCUCCCUUCACAGCACUGUCAGAGCAGUGACUUUGUCGAGAAGCUGAGCUCGCGUGUGCUAUAUUUAACCAGUGUUCUCAGCAAGUCAAGCCUGUCAACAGCUGAGAAGUUUGGAGCCGGCUCUGCUCAGUUCCUCGGCAGCUGGGUUAUCAGUGGAUACAGCUCUGCUCACCCUGUAAAAGAUUGCGGGGAAACGGCAGACCCUUUUAAGGACUGCUGCUCAUUACACAGAGGUACCAAGAUGAUUCUUUACCCUGCAAUGUGUCUGGACUGAGUCUCUCCAUAACAGGGUGACGAGGAGGUGAAGGAGGAGGUACCCGCCAGCGCCCAAGGAGACGGAGUGUGAAGCAGGGAGGGGGAAGCCACCAGGAGGCUCUCAGCGGUGCGCAGUGUGCACACCAGCACCAAAACAUGCAGGACUGGGAUGGCGGGUGGUUGCGUGGACAUGGUAGGUGAAGGAGACAUUGAGAUUGGGAGAUUGA